AUACAGAGGGUGCAAGCGUUAAUCGGAAUUACUGGGCGUAAAGCGUGUGUAGGUGGUUUAGAUAAGUUAGAUGUGAAAUCCCCGGGCUUAACCUGGGCACUGCGUUUAAGACUGUUUAGCUAGAGUACUGUAGAGGAUAGUGGAAUUUCCAGUGUAGCGGUGAAAUGCGUAGAUAUUGGAAGGAACACCAGUGGCGAAGGCGACUAUCUGGACAGAUACUGACACUGAGACACGAAAGCGUGGGGAUC
rnacentral:rRNA from 1 species